rnacentral:rRNA from 1 species
AGUGAACGCUGGCGGCAGGCCUAAUACAUGCAAGUCGAACGGCAGCACGGCAGAGCUUGCUCUGUGGGUGGCGAGUGGCGGACGGGUGAGGAAUACAUGGGAAUCUGCCCAGUCGUGGGGGAUAACGUAGGGAAACUUACGCUAAUACCGCAUGCGCCCUUCGGGGAAAGCCGGGGACCUUCGGGCCUGGCGCGAUUGGAUGAGCCCAUGUCGGAUUAGCUAGUUGGCGGGGUAAUGGCCCACCAAGGCGACGAUCCGUAGCUGGUCUGAGAGGAUGAUCAGCCACACUGGAACUGAGACACGGUCCAGACUCCUACGGGAGGCAGCAGUAGGGAAUAUUGGACAAUGGGCGCAAGCCUGAUCCAGCCAUGCCGCGUGAGUGAAGAAGGCCCUCGGGUUGUAAAGCUCUUUGUCCGGUAAGAAAAGACGCCGGGUUAAUACCCUGGUGUCCUGACGGUACCGGAAGAAUAAGGACACCGGCUAACUUCGUGCCAGCAGCCGCGGUAAU